rnacentral:rRNA from 1 species
AUUGAACGCUGGCGGCAUGCUUUACACAUGCAAGUCGAACGGUAACAGGCCUUCGGGUGCUGACGAGUGGCGCACGGGUGAGUAAUGCAUCGGAACGUGCCCAGAGGUGGGGGAUAACGCAGCGAAAGCUGUGCUAAUACCGCAUGUGAUCUGAGGAUGAAAGCGGGGGACCAGGCAGCAAUGUUUGGCCUCGCGCCUUUGUAGCGGCCGAUGUCAGAUUAGGUAGUUGGUGGGGUAAAGGCCUACAAAGCCGACGAUCUGUAGCUGGUCUGAGAGGACGAGCAGACAAACUGGGACUGAGACACGGCCCAGACUCCUACGGGAGGCAGCAGGGGGGAAUUUUGGACAAUGGGCGCAAGCCUGAUCCAGCAAUGACGCGUGCGGGAAGAAGGCCUUCGGGUUGUAAAACGCUUUUGUACGGAACGAAAAGGCUCUGGCUAAUACCUGGGGAUGAUGACGGUACCGUAAGAAUAAGCACCGGCUAACUACGUG